CUGUGUUAAGUAUUCCCACCUACAAGCAUUGCCCAACACGAUUAAGUUCUGGUGCUCAAUAUGUAGGGUGGAGUAAGACAAGUGUGUCCACCUGUACAAUCAUGAUGCUGAUUGUGUCUACAAGGGCCUGGUCACAGGAACUUCCGGACAUCCAAUGUGAGCUGAGCACCACUUGACUGGAAAAUCUCCCUGUACACACGAGGAUGUGUGUAUCUACAGCUCCAGAUCUGUGGCUGCCAAACUUUUUGGAAACUUGCAGGUGAAUCUGUACAAGGGUGGCAGGUGGAAGGUUUCGUUCUGCACCUUACAUGACUACACAAAGAUGGAAGGUACGGAAAAGGGAAGAGAAAGCCAUUCACAAAACAACAUGACCAUCCACCUGCAAUG